rnacentral:rRNA from 1 species
UACGUAGGAGACGAGCGUUGUCCGGAGUUACUGGGCGUAAAGGGUGCGCAGGCGGCCUUGCGCGUCGCGAGUGAAAUCUCCCGGCUCAACUGGGAGGGUGGUCGCGAGACGGCAGGGCUUGAGGCUCGGUGAGGGGCGUGGAAUCCGGUGGGAGCGGUGAAUGACGUAGAGAUCCGGAGGAACACCGACGGCGUAGGCAGCGCCCUAGACGAGACCUGACGCUCAGGCACGAAAGCGCGGGGAGCGAACAGG